UGGGGAAUUUUGGACAAUGGGCGAAAGCCUGAUCCAGCAAUGCCGCGUGUGUGAAGAAGGCCUUCGGGUUGUAAAGCACUUUUGUCCGGAAAGAAAUCCUUGGCUCUAAUACAGUCGGGGGAUGACGGUACCGGAAGAAUAAGCACCGGCUAACUACGUGCCAGCAGCCGCGGUAAUACGUAGGGUGCAAGCGUUAAUCGGAAUUACUGGGCGUAAAGCGUGCGCAGGCGGUUUGCUAAGACCGAUGUGAAAUCCCCGGGCUCAACCUGGGAACUGCAUUGGUGACUGGCAGGCUAGAGUAUGGCAGAGGGGGGUAGAAUUCCACGUGUAGCAGUGAAAUGCGUAGGGAUGUGGAGGAAUACCGAUGGCGAAGGCAGCCCCCGUGGGCCAAUACUGACGCUCAUGCACGAAAGCGUGGGGAGCAAAACAGGAUUAGAUACCCUGGUAGUCCACGCCCUAAACGAUGUCAACUAGUUGUUGGGGAUUCAUUUCCUUAGUAACGUAGCUAACGCGUGAAGUUGACCGCCUGGGGAGUACGGUCGCAAGAUUAAAACUCAAAUGAAUUGACGGGGUCAUAGCUG
rnacentral:rRNA from 1 species